GUUUACAUGUGUGCACAGAAUAUGUUUCCUUGCAGUUCUGGUAAUAGACCUGCCUAAAAAGUAGCUUCCUAUGGCAUCUUUAUUGCAUACAUAAAGGAAUGGAUUAUAGAAGGUAUCACAGAAUCAUAAACUAAUUGAGGACAGUGAACUUCUGGAGAUCACCGUUCAACCACCCCUCCUGAAGCAGUGUCAGUUAGAGAAGGUUGCCCAGGACUGUGUCAUUGGAUUUUGAAUAUCCCCAAGAAUAAACUCCACAGCCUCUCUGAACUACCUGUCUCAUCUCUCAUCCUCCCACUGGGUACCACUGAGAAGAGCCUGGCUGCAUUAUUCUUGCAUCUUCCCAUCAGGUUGGUUUGUUUGUUUAUUUUUUCUAGUUACUAAGCAUCUAAUUUGAAUCAACUGUGGGAAAAGAAAGCAUUGAAGGUGCUGUGACACCUGGAAAUUGUCUGAAUGAAAACAAUUCUGAUACUUGUGUAGCAUUUGGUGUCUAUUGUAAAUCUGGCAAACCUGCCUAAAGAAAUCUGUACAGAACAGACGGAAUCUUUAACUUAUCUGCAGUGGCUCCACUGGCUAAACUUGCACUCUCUGCUAAUGGUCUGCCCUAACCAGAAAUAUGCUGAUGUCCAGCCACAUCUCUAAGACAAUUACAGCUGUUUUCAGCAAGGAUGGUAUUAGCGGACCUCUAACCCCCUGAAAGGAAAUCAAGACAGAGAAAGGAAGGAUGGACCAUUGGGCUUGGAAUGUGCAGUGCUACUUUAAGGACUUUUACACUUUUGAAGCCAUUUUCACAAAAGGAAAUGUUAACAGUCUGCCACUGAGAAGGCAACUGAGUACCCCAGCAAAACUUAGAACUGCAUGGUCAGAUACAGAUGAAAAUCUUCAAACAGUUGCCUUAAG
ensembl:lncRNA